rnacentral:rRNA from 1 species
AUUGAACGCUGGCGGCAUGCCUUACACAUGCAAGUCGAACGGCAGCACGGACUUCGGUCUGGUGGCGAGUGGCGAACGGGUGAGUAAUGCAUCGGAACGUGCCAUUGAGUGGGGGAUAACGUAGCGAAAGUUGCGCUAAUACCGCAUAUUCUGUGAGCAGGAAAGCAGGGGACCGCAAGGCCUUGCGCUCUUUGAGCGGCCGAUGUCAGAUUAGCUAGUUGGUGAGGUAAAGGCUUACCAAGGCGACGAUCUGUAGCGGGUCUGAGAGGAUGAUCCGCACACUGGAACUGAGACACGGUCCAGACUCCUACGGGAGGCAGCAGUGGGGAAUUUUGGACAAUGGGGGCAACCCUGAUCCAGCCAUGCCGCGUCGAGUGAAGAAGGCCUUCGGGUUGGU